GGGUUGUGAGGUUAAGCGACUAAGCGUACACGGUGGAUGCCUAGGCAAUCAGAGGCGAUGAAGGACGUGCUAAUCUGCGAAAAGCGUCGGUAAGGUGAUAUGAACCGUUAUAGCCGACGAUGUCCGAAUGGGGAAACCCAGUGCAAUUCGUUGCACUAUCGUUUGAUGAAUCCAUAGUCAAACGAGGCGAACCGGGGGAACUGAAACAUCUCAGUACCCCGAGGAAAAGAAAUCAACCGAGAUUCCCCUAGUAGCGGCGAGCGAACGGGGAGCAGCCCAGAGUCUUAAUCAGCAUCAGCAUCAGGAGAACGGUCUGGAAAGGCCGGCAAUAAAGGGUGAUAGCCCCGUAUCCGAAGGUGUUGGUGUUGUGAACUCGAUGAGUAGGGCGGGACACGUGUUAUCCUGUCUGAAUAUGGGGGGACCAUCCUCCAAGGCUAAAUACUCCUGAUUGACCGAUAGUGAACCAGUACCGUGAGGGAAAGGCGAAAAGAACCCCGGCGAGGGGAGUGAAAUAGAACCUGAAACCGUGUACGUACAAGCAGUGGGAGCC
rnacentral:rRNA from 1 species